UUUCUCUACUAAUCCUGUAAUGUUAUGUUUUUGUCACUUUAUAAACCUCAGAAGAAUGGCAUAUUGAAAAACAAGUGUCUUACUCAGUGAUACACGUGAAGAUAAGAAGGGAUUUCUUGAAGCCAAACACUUAUUUUUAUGAAGAUUUAGAGAAAUUAGCCGGUCAUUAAAUUAUUUCUAACGCAGAUGGGGGCACAGAUCGCUGAAAUAGUGGUGUGCAUUAAAUUAACAUGCGGGCAACUUGAGUAUGCAACAACUUUGUUUAUGCUUACAUUUUCCUCUAUUUUCUCAUUUUAUUAGCAGAACAACUUUUACUGGAAAGCGACUGGCACCUUUUCACAUAUGACAUGUAAAACACAAGGGAAUUUACAGGUUUAAAGGGGAAAUUUGGCACCUUUACUUUGGAUGUCCAUUGAGUUGGAGUUCUCCUGCUUGUGGAGCCAUGGCAGCUGUGCCUACAUUUACCAGGAUGCAUUGCGCGAGCAGCGCUAAACUCUC